AGGAGCCGUGUACGAGGCCCGUACGCACGGUUCUGUGAGAGGGAUAAAGAUGGGAUAAAAAUUAUAUCCUAUCUUUAC
rnacentral:ncRNA from 1 species